rnacentral:rRNA from 1 species
GAUGAACGCUGGCGGCGUGCCUAAUACAUGCAAGUCGAGCGAACAGACGAGGAUCUUGCUCCUCUGACGUUAGCGGCGGACGUGUGAGUAACACGUGUAUAACCUACCUAUAAUACUGGUAUAACUUCGGGAAACCGGAUCUAAUACCGUAUACUCUAUUGAUCCCCAUGGUUCAAUAGGGAAAGACGGUUUUGCUGUCACUUAUACAUGGAUCCUCUCCGCAUUAGCUUGUUGGUAAGGUAGCGGCUUACCAAGGCAACGAGGCGUAGCCGGCCUGCGAGGGUGAUAGGGCACACUGGAACUGAGACACGGUGAAGACUCCUACGGGACGCAGCAAUAGGGAAGCUUCCGAAAUGGGCGAAAGCGUGAAGGAGAAACGCAGCGAGGGUGAGGAAGGUAUUCGGAUCGUAAAACUCUGUUAUUAGGGAGGAAAAAAUGUGUAAGUAACUAUGCACGUCUUGAGGGUACCUAAUCAGAAAGCGACGGCUAACUACGUG